rnacentral:rRNA from 1 species
UGGCCAGACUCCUACGGGAGGCAGCAGUGAGGAAUAUUGGUCAAUGGGCGGAAGCCUGAACCAGCCAAGUCGCGUGAGGGACUAAGGCCCUACGGGUCGUAAACCUCUUUUGCCGGGGAGCAAGCCGUCCCACGUGUGGGCCGGUGGAGAGUACCCGGAGAAAAAGCAUCGGCUAACUCCGUGCCAGCAGCCGCGGUAAUACGGAGGAUGCGAGCGUUAUCCGGAUUUAUUGGGUUUAAAGGGUGCGUAGGCGGGAUGCCAAGUCAGCGGUAAAAAUGCGGUGCUCAACGCCGUCGAGCCGUUGAAACUGGCGUUCUUGAGUGGGCGAGAAGUAUGCGGAAUGCGUGGUGUAGCGGUGAAAUGCAUAGAUAUCACGCAGAACUCCGAUUGCGAAGGCAGCAUACCGGCGCCCUACUGACGCUGAGGCACGAAAGCGUGGGUAUCGAACAGGAUUAGAUACCCGGGUAAA